rnacentral:rRNA from 1 species
UACGUAGGUGGCAAGCGUUGUCCGGAUUUACUGGGCGUAAAGAGCGCGCAGGCGGUCGAAUAAGUCGAAUGUGAAAGCCCCCGGCUUAACUGGGGAGGGUCAUUCGAUACUGCUCGACUUGAAGGCAGGAGAGGGAAGUGGAAUUCCCGGUGUAGUGGUGAAAUGCGUAGAGAUCCGGAGGAACACCAGAGGCGAAAGCGGCGUCCUGGGGUGAGGUUGACGCUCAGACACGAAAGCAUGGGGAGCGAACGGG